AAGGCAAUACGCAAUGAAAGAACCAACAUGCUUUCACAUUUCAAACUCACGAACGCACCUGAACUCUCCAUCUCCGCCGCUUCGGAAUUCGCCACUGGCGGCGGCGGAUGACCUAACCCUUGAAACCUUACAUUAAAACACUCGUACCUUCUCCCUCUAUCUCAAUCUCACACUGUUCCCCUCUGAUUCCCUUCCCUAAGUCCGAAUUGAAGAACAACUCAAAUAAACCCUAAAUUUCUAGAUCCGGAAAUUAAAUGAUGCGGCGAGGGAAUUGAAACCUACAUGGGUAGGGAUUUAAAUCUGAAGCUUGAAACUUCACUUCGAUGGUGAUUUAGGAGAAAACCAAACAAGAACUGGAGGGUUGCUUACCAGCCGGAGUAGCUCCGACGGCUCUUCAGAUGUGGCGUUUGUUAAAGAAAUCCAGAGAUUCGUCUCCUUAGGUAACGCUUGCUCGUGGUGUUGGUGCGAAGAGGUGAAUGAGAGUGAAGAAUGAUGAGUUCUGAGAUAUUGUGCAGUGUGUGAAGACGAUGAUGAUGGCGAUGCAGAGGAUUUCAAGGAUUGGAGAGGGAUGAGUGAAUAUGAAGAGUGAAGAUUUAAGGUUGUAAACUAGUGAAUCUCAAAUGCAGAUUGAAGGUUGCAAGCUCGUGAAUCUCAGAUGCAGAUUGAAGGAUUGAGUUGCAGAAUGAAGAAUUCUCGAGUUGCACAAUGAAGAAAAACUCGAGUUGCAAAAUGAAAAAAAAACUCCCUAUAAAGAAUGAUAGUUAAUAUUUCUUGGUGCAGCUGGUGGUGGAUGGACUUAUUGAUGUGCUGCAGGAUGGUGCAACCUUGUUGUGUGAUGGAAAAAAUGAGUACAAGUUGGAUGUGAACUUCCUGUACAGGAAGUUGAAUGGGUUUAGAGUUAGGAAAUUGAAUUGUAAACUAUAUUGAUCUCAAACAAGUUUAUAUAUUAUGUAAAAUAUUAUGUUGUAACAUGAAUGGAUUGAAAAUAUGGAAUAGAUUGGUGAUUGUUAUGGAAA